rnacentral:rRNA from 2 species
CAAGUCGAGCGGACAGAUGGGAGCUUGCUCCCUGAUGUUAGCGGCGGACGGGUGAGUAACACGUGGGUAACCUGCCUGUAAGACUGGGAUAACUCCGGGAAACCGGGGCUAAUACCGGAUGGUUGUCUGAACCGCAUGGUUCAGACAUAAAAGGUGGCUUCGGCUACCACUUACAGAUGGACCCGCGGCGCAUUAGCUAGUUGGUGAGGUAACGGCUCACCAAGGCGACGAUGCGUAGCCGACCUGAGAGGGUGAUCGGCCACACUGGGACUGAGACACGGCCCAGACUCCUACGGGAGGCAGCAGUAGGGAAUCUUCCGCAAUGGACGAAAGUCUGACGGAGCAACGCCGCGUGAGUGAUGAAGGUUUUCGGAUCGUAAAGCUCUGUUGUUAGGGAAGAACAAGUGCCGUUCAAAUAGGGCGGCACCUUGACGGUACCUAACCAGAAAGCCACGGCUAACUACGUGCCAGCAGCCGCGGUAAUACGUAGGUGGCAAGCGUUGUCCGGAAUUAUUGGGCGUAAAGGGCUCGCAGGCGGUUUCUUAAGUCUGAUGUGAAAGCCCCCGGCUCAACCGGGGAGGGUCAUUGGAAACUGGGGAACUUGAGUGCAGAAGAGGAGAGUGGAAUUCCACGUGUAGCGGUGAAAUGCGUAGAGAUGUGGAGGAACACCAGUGGCGAAGGCGACUCUCUGGUCUGUAACUGACGCUGAGGAGCGAAAGCGUGGGGAGCGAACAGGAUUAGAUACCCUGGUAGUCCACGCCGUAAACGAUGAGUGCUAAGUGUUAGGGGGUUUCCGCCCC